AGGAUGAACGCUAGCGGCAGGCCUAAUACAUGCAAGCUGAACGGUAAAUAGUGUAGCAAUACAUUAUGAGAGUAGCGUAAGGGUGCGUAACACGUAUGCAAUCUGCCCUGUACAGGAGAAUAGCUCGGGGGAAACCCGGAUUAAUGCUCCGUAAUAUUGUUAAGUGGCAUCACAUGACAAUUAAAGUUGCAAGAUGGUACAGGAUGAGCAUGCGUCUGAUUAGCUAGUUGGUAGUGUAACGGACUACCAAGGCGAUGAUNAGGUAGGGACUGA
rnacentral:rRNA from 1 species